UACGUAGGGGGCAAGCGUUGUUCGGAAUUAUUGGGCGUAAAGAGCUCGUAGGCGGUCUGUCGCGUCUGCUGUGAAAACUCAGGGCUUAACCCUGAGCUUGCAGUGGGUACGGGCAGACUAGAGUGCGGUAGGGGAGACUGGAAUUCCUGGUGUAGCGGUGAAAUGCGCAGAUAUCAGGAGGGAACACCGGUGGGCCGAAAGGCGGGUCUCUGGGCCGUAACUGACGC
rnacentral:rRNA from 1 species